rnacentral:rRNA from 1 species
AUGGUUAAAAGUGAUAUGCACACAACUUUUCCCUUGGUUUACCGUAUGGUUGAGUUAGCAUUGAUUCUACCUGUUGCAACUACAACAGCGGAAAGAGCAUUCUCAGCAAUGAGCAUUAUCAAGACUGGAUUGAGGAACAAAAUGGGUGAUGAUUGGAUGAAUCAUAGAAUGGUAUGUUACAUUGAGCGAGAUGUAUUUGUUAGUAUUGAAGAAUCAAAAAUCAUCGAGCGAUUUCAAGGUUAUCGCACACGUAAAGGUAUUUUGCCUCGUCCUAUAUGUAAGUUUUCACAUUUUGCAUGUAUCAAUAUCAUUAACUAG